AAUUUGUGUGUUACCUUUGUUUUAGAAACUACUAGCUAUUUCAAAACCAGGCGCCGUGGCUCACGCCUGUAAUCCCAGCACUUUGGGAGGGUGAGGCUGGAGGAUCACCUGAGGUCAGGAGUUCAAGACCAGCCUGGCCAACAUGGGAAAACCCUGUCUCUACUAAAAAUACAAAAAUUAGCCAGGUGUGGUGGUACCUGUAAUCCCAGCCUCAUGGGAAGCUGAGGCAGGAGAAUGGCUUGAACCUGGGAGGGAGAUUGCAGUAAGCCAAGAUCGCGCCACUGCACUCAAGCCUGGGUGACAGAGUGAGACUCUGUCUCAAAAUAAAUGAAUAAAUAAAAGAAACUACUAGCUAUUUCUAGGGCAAAAUCCAUAGUGGAGUAAUCCCUGAGGUAAUUCAGAUAGUUAAUGGGCAGAGCCAAGACUAUCACCCAGAUCUCAGCCCAGAGUGCCUAUAACGUCACCCUGACAGGUGGAGGCUGUGGAACAAAUGGAAGCCGUUCCAAAGCAGUCAUAUCUCAUGUGAUCCCAUCUACGCGAUGAGCCAAGGCAAAGGGCACUGGUGGUUCCCUGCCGUCCUCAUGGGCUCCUGCCCUGGGCCUGGUGGUAGGUUCACAUGUCAGCAACCACGAGCUAAUCUCACCUCACAGUUACUCUAAUUUCUCGUGUCUGUCAAGUUUCCCAAGGAGGAGUUGUUUUCCCAAAUCAGCCUGUUUCUUUUUAUAAUAUAAGCUGUUUAGAGGCCAGGCACAGUGGCUCACACCUGUAAUCCCAGCAUUUUGGGAGGCCAAGGCGGGCAGAUCACCUGAGGUCAGGAGUUCCAGGCCAGCCUAGCCAACAUAGUGAAACCCCAUCCCUAAUAAAAAUACAAAAAUUAGGUGGGGCCAGGUGCGGUGGCUCACGCCCAUAACCCCAGGACUUUGGGAGGCCGAGGUGGGCAGAUCACCUGAGGUCAGGAGACCAGCCUGGCCAACAUGGCAAAACCCUAUUUCUAGUAAAAGUACAAAAAUUAGCUGGUGUGGUGGUGCACGCCUGUAAUCCCAACUACUCGGGAGGCUGAGGUGGGAGAAUCUCUAGAACCCAGGAAACAGAGGUUGCAGUGAGCCAAGAUCAUGCCACUGCACUCCAGCCUGCGCAACAGAGUAAGACACUGUCUCAGAAAAAAAAAAAAAAAAAAUAGCUGGGUGCAGUGGCACACGCCUGUAAUCCCAACCACCCAGGAGGCUGAGGCAGGAGAAUCUCUAGAACCUGGGAGGUGGAGGUUGCAGUGAGCCAAGACCGCACCACUGCAUUCCAACCUGGGUGACAGUGAGACUCCGUCUCAAAAAAAAAACAAAAGAAAACCAAAAAAAACCUGUUUAGAGCAGGUAAUGAAACAACAUACAAUUUGUUACAGCAAUAGAGAGGAUGUUCCUUUCCAAAUGUCUGUCAUUCUUUCAGCAGACGCUAGCACUGUGUGUCUAGUGUCUGCUAGAUGCUAAGGAUAUGCUGUAAAACAAGACCCAGUCAUCAACCUCAAGAAGUUUAUAAAUAAAUAUUAAGAGGAACAGAAAGGUCAUUUUAAGUGUAAUAAUUGCUCUGAUGGGGAAAGCAUGAGGUGCUGGACAAUCCCAUAGCAGAGACAACUAAUCCAGCUGGGCCAGGCAUCAGAGAAGGCUUUAAUGAAGGAUGAGGUUUAGGCUGAGACCUGAAGAAAAAGUAAGUGGGGUGGGAAGGAAGAACUUUAUAGGUGGAGGGAAUACAAUUUGCAGAGGCCCAAGGGUGGGAAAGGGCAUCUUGCUUUUGUGGGGCUGCGGGUGGUUCGUUAUGAUUGAUUCAUAGGUGAUAAGGGCAAGAAUAAGGCAGAGGGUAGGACUCGUGGGCUUUGCUAAGGAAUCUGAACUUCAACCAGAGGACAGUGGGGAACCACUGAUGAGCUUGAGGCAGGAGCAUGACAAGAUCUGGUUAUACUUCAGAUAAUUUACUUGGAGGGAAUAGUGGAGAAUUGGUGGUGGCGAGAGCCAGAUUCCUUAGGAAGCCUUUGAGGUCGUCCAGGUAAGAGAUGACUAUAGGCCAAAUUAAAGGUGUGGAUAUGAC
rnacentral:lncRNA from 1 species